ACUCCUAAAGUGAUUCCUUCCCGUUCAUGACAAAACAAAGUAAAGGGUUUUUUCUAAUUAGGGAGUCCAAGAGCGGGAGCAACACUGAGGGCUUGCUUAAGGGCCACAAAUGCUUGUUCGGCUUCAGGAGUCUAAGGGAGGGGUUCCGGGGUGGCAUCAUGAGUAAAUGCUUGCAAGUGUUUUGCAAAAGGAGCAUAACCCAGGAUCCACUGUCUACAAUAACUCGUUGCACCUACGAAUCCCCUCAUCUCUUUUCUAGUCAUAGGUUUGGGAAUGUUGAGGAUAGCUUCAACUCUAUUAGGGGAAAAGUGUCGUUCUCCUGCUGAGAUAUGCCCUAAAUAAUGUACCUUAGACUUACAGAGCUGCAAUUUAGAUUUUGAGGCCUUGUGGCCUUUUUGAGCUAAAGCUGUGAGGAGUGUCAAAGUAUCUUGCUUACAGGCUUCUAAAAUGGGUGAGGCUAACAACAGAUCAUCAAUAUACUGAAGAAGGGUGAACCCCCCUUUGAACAUGAUAGGAUAUAAAUCUUUUUUCAGGAUCUGGGAAAACAGGGUGGGGGACUCUGUAUAUCCCUGAGGGAGUCUUGUCCAGGUAUAUUGGAAUUUUUGAUAAGUAAAUGCAAACAGAUACUGGCUAUCCUUAUAAACGGUGAUAGAAAAAAAAGCAGAACAAAGGUCUACUACUGUGAAAUACGUAGCAUCUGAAGGGAUACAGGAAAGAAUAGUGGCAGGGUUAGGGACCAUGGGGAAAGCGGGUAAAACAGCAGCAUUUACAGCUCAAAGGUCUUGCACAAAGAGAUAAGUAUCUUUACCAGGUUCUUUUGCCAGGUAGGAUAGGUGUGUUACAAGGGGAGCAUAUUGGGACAAUAAUCCCUUGCUCAAGGAGUGAGGAAAUGACAGGCUUGAUCCCUUCUUCAGCUUCCUUUGAGAUGGGGUAUUGCGGGACACGAGGAAGUGGCUUGGCAGGGUUCAGGGUGAUACGCACUGGUUCAGCACUCAGCAUGUGUCCCACUUCAUUCGCAUGGGUGGACCACAGCUGUGGAGGUACUCGUGCCAACAGUUCCUCUUGCAAGUAGGAAGUGUCAGGAUCAGAGUACUCCUGGGUUAGCAAAGCCACAAGUUCGGUUUCCCUAUGUGCCGGUACCUCAAGGUAAACACCAUCUGGGCUACAAUAAAUCAACCAUCCCAGUUUACACAGCAAAUCCUUUCCAAGAAGGUUGACAGGUGCACAGGGGCUAAGAAAAAAGGCAUGAUUUUCAGACAAAGGGCUAAUAGAGAUGGAGACAGGUUUAUCAGAAAUAAGGCAUUUAACAAAUGGACCAGAUUGGUCAGUAGCAAGCAAAGGAGCGAUGAUGUCACUGUCCCUCAGGCUGUCCUAUCCAACACUGGGAAAAUUGACAGGAAGAGGAGGUGGGGGCUGGGGGCUGGGUCCUUGGCCGGGGCGGUUGGGGCAUUUUGAUUUCCAAUGUCCUUCUUGCUUGCAAGAAUGACAUUGGUUCUCAUAGCCUGGGUUUUGUGGGCCGGAGGAUCUAUCUUUUUCCCUGAAUCUACCCGGGCCUCCUCUUCCUCAUCUUCAUCUCUUUCCUCUACCUGGACCUUGCAACUGAGAAAUCUGUAAGGCCAUUAACUUAAACUCCGCGUUGUUUUUGGACUGUUCCAAUUUGUUAUGAAAAUGGUUCACUGCAGCAAGGACUUCAGUCAAAUCUUUAGUUUCUCAGCUAAUAAUUACUGUUUGAAUUUUCUCAGCAAUUUUAGGGUUAAGUCCCUGGACGAAUGCUGCCACUAUUGCUUGUUUAGCAUUUCCGACCGGGUCAUCUAUUCUUGAAUAUUGUUCAAAUGCCUGCUUGAGGCAUUCCAAAUAGUCAGUGGGGUGUUCAUUUUUGUUUUGUUUACAGGUAUUUAUUUUGGGCAGUCUGCCUUUUUUGGGCAAAUUGUGAGAACUGCCUGAACCAAAGCAUUUCUCUUGUCAAUAAAGUCUUGGCCAGUCCUUGGGUUUUGAUCUGGCCAAGUACAAGCAGCGUACAGACGCAGCAUAGUUUCCUUGGGCAAAAUGGAUCGCAUGAGCUGAUUAAUGUCAGCCCAUGUUGGAUUAUAAUAAUUUAUAACAGUCUGCAAUUCUUCCUGAAAUUUUUCUGGGUCUUCCCUGAUUUUGGGGAAUUUUUGAGUUAAAUUGUAGAGAUCACCUGGAGUCCAGGGUGCAUGCACGGUUACUAUAUUUUGUCCAUUGGUGCCAAUGCCUGGCAUUUGCCUUAGCGGGUAAGAUUGUGCAGCUCGGGAUCUAAGAUUGAUGGGAGAUCUUUCCAUGCUUAUUCUCAUUCUUCUAAAUACCCCUGUGGUGGGUUGUGACCCAGGAGUAAAUUGCCACACUGGUGAUGACUGAGUGGCAGAUAUGGUGGAUGAGUCUGGACUAUUAAGCUCCGUGGAUGAAUUUAUCAAAGGAGCUUCAGCUAAUGGGUUACUAGCCUGGGCUGCAGCCUGAUGUUGAACCGGUUGUUGCUGAUGUGGGAGUCCCAGGAGAGCAGGGUUUGAACAAAGGUCAAGGACAUCCUCUGCUGGCUCCGGCGGUGGGGGUGUCCCGGGCAAUGCUGGAUACAUCGGAGUGGUGGCCGGCGUGUAAUUUGGGGGAGCAGCCAAUUUCUCCCGAACAGCUUUUAACUGCUGUUUUAAUUUUUCUUGAGAGUUUUUUAGAUUUUUAGUUUGAGAUUCUGUCCGUCUUUUGGACAUCUCAUCAUACUAAUAAAAGAACGCGUCCCACUGGUUUUGUGGUGUUUUGGAUCCACGGGACUCUAAAGCCCCUCUUAAGUGCACUAUUUUAUCCUGAUCAAAUGUUCCUUCCUGUGGAAAUUGCUUCACGGGAUCACCCUUAGUAUACCAGUUCCACUUAUCCAAGUACUUGCAAGCCUUGGGAGAAUAGUGUGUGUACAUAAAGUACACCGGAGUCCCCUUAGGGGGGACAGGAACUUGUUUAGACUGACCUGUUCUCAUUUUCAGUCACACAGGGAGACGUAGGAGAGGCUUAUUUAGGAUGUCCGGGCCGCUCAGUGCCUUGCCCGCAGUCUUUCACCGCCCAGACAAAAGGCUUCUGACCCGACACCGCCUCAUACAAUGGAAGCAGGGAGGGAAACACAAGAGGGAUCCUUUCACUCCUGCUCUAGGCAGAAGCUACUGGGACAAGGGGGUGGAAAAGACAAAAUCACUCAGACGCCCUGUCUACUGGGUCACGAGGUUUCUGCUGGGCCCCUUGCUUUCGACGCUACCUUUUUAGGCAGAAUCGGGGCAGCUAGACCCAGCCUGUUUCAGACCUGGUCAGUGGCUCAUUUUUGUAAACAUACACACACGCACAUUCAGUCGGCCAGACCUCCUCCCCAACACUGCCUUAGUUAAUUAACUACAAGCCCGAUAUGCUGUUGGAUGAAGGUGCUUCAAACAGUUUCUCCUCUCCCUGAAUAAAACGUAUGUUACCAGAUACAAAAUUUUAGACGGCAGUAAGGUUCAGACCUGUUUUAACAAGGUUUAGAUCCAGUUACCACGGCUAAGUUGGAAGCCUACGGGCAGUCUUCCUCCGAAACCCCAAUAGAGAUUUUGAAUGAGGUCUCUUACCUCUCAAAUUUGGCGCCUCGGGGUUCGGGGAAGGGGGGGGCAGUCCGCGGUCCUCCUUCCUCAGCACGUGUUCUGGAUCCAAGACACGGCACCAGGAAUUGUCAUGGAAACACACACAGCAUCCUUUUGGGUCAGAAGAAGAAGCAGACAAGACGGCAGACAACCAACUGAGGAAGAAAGAAACCCCUGCCCACCCAGCAGGAGGGAAAGGUCCCUGAAGGGCAGCUGGAGAAGAAGGAACGGAAGCAGGAAAAGAAAGCUCGGGAACAAGAAGUGUGGCUUGCGGUGCGCAGGAGGGAUGGAGCAAAAUUUUUAAUGUAUGCUUAGGUAAAUGCAGAUGGAGAGUGGUGUGCAUGUCUACAUUUUCAAACACCCAUUAGAAGCAAGCAGCCGCACGCUUCAAGCUGCACUGUGCACUCGGUCUUGGGUUGGCCCCGAUUGUGUGUAGGGAGGUUGAGGCUUUGUGCUAGUUGUGCGUAUUGAUAUGCAGCAGUGAAGGGUUUUGCAGGUUGUCUAGCUUGGCUAGUUAAGCAGUGGAUCAGAACAGAUGCGGUUGAAGGCAGUGUGUAGGUUUUCCUUGGUUGGGUUGUUGAGCGGUUCUCGGUGUCGGUGUAGAAAUGCAGGUUUGUGCUCAGUUCUGUUUGUGGCUUGGCUGUAGCUUGCUUAGGCUGUAGGUUGCGGGGCCAAUUUCAGGCUGUUUGUGGUGCAGUUUGUUUGAGUCUGGUAGUUAAGGCUCCGUGGGUGUUUGAAAGCAUUUAAUCUCCAGCUCCAUGACCCAUGAGGAUGAAGGACUCAUCCUGUGUCCAAAGGAUCCUAAAGGGAGUUGGCGUGGUCAGCGUGAAACCGGUAGGAGCAAGCGGGCCUAAGAUGUGCACAGUCAAAUAAUAAACGGUCUAAGAAACUUCACCUCGUGGCUGGUGCUUUUCUACGCUGAGAAGAUUUGGCCGCGGGCCUUUCCUGUUGCGAGCUGGCUGAAGGAUGAACCUUUUCAUUCAGUCUGCCGAUCCAAUCUGUGUUCUUACUUGUGCAAUGCAAAUAUUUCCCCUUCUGAUGAACCAGUGGUAAACGAGCGUGCAACACAUGGUUCCUAGUCUUCAGUUUACAAUGGUUAAUGCACUGUAGGACAUCAGUCCUGAUUUAUUUGAGGAACUGAAAAAAAAGGCCCAGUGAAGUUGUGGUGCUUCGGUAUAAUCUGUUGAAGUUCAGCUGUCCCUUGUCUCAAAAGAAAAAAUGGUCCCAAUAAAAAUAAAAUGCUCAGGAGCCUUAUGAGCUACAUGGGUUUUUUUUAGUUCAGGUGUUUCAGACCUUCUUCUCGGACUGCCUUCAGUACAAGUACAAUGAGCUUGUGCCGUGCGAAGGUGUGAAGGUGCACAGAAGCUGCCCAUUGGGAGCAAGCAGCCGCACACUUCAAGUUGCACUGUGCACUUGGUCUUGCGUUGGCCCCGAUUCUGUGGAAGGAAGCUGAGGUUUUGUGCUAGUUGUGCAGUUUGAUAUGCAGCAGGCAAGGGUUUUGCAGGUUGUUUGGUUUACCUAGUUAAGCAAUGGAUCAGAAUAGAUGUGACUGAAGGCAGUGUGAAGGGUUGUUGAGCAGUUUUCGGUGUUAGUGUAGAAAUGCAGGUUUGUGCUCCAUUCUGUUUGGGGCUUGGCUGUAGCUUGUGGGGACAGUCCUUUGUCCAAACGAUCAUAAAGGUAGUUGGCGUGGCUAACAUCAAAUCAGUAGGAACAGGUAGGCCUAAGAUGUGCACAGUCACACAAUGAAUGGUCUACAAAACUUCACCUCGUGGCUGGGGCUUUUCUAUGCUGAGAUUUGGCCGCGGGCCUUUCCUGUGGAGAGCUGGCUGCAGGAUGAACUUUUUCAUUGUGGCUGCCGAUCCGAUCUGUGUUCUUACUUAUGCAAUGCAAAUAUUUCCCCUUCUGAUGGUCUAACAAGAAAAAAUGGUCCCAAUAAAAAUGAAAUGCUCAGGAGA